GUUACCUGGGGAUCUUGUUAAAAUGCAGAUUCUGACUCAGUAGGCCUGGAGUGGGGCCUAAGAUUCUGCAUUUUUAACAAACUCUUAGGUGCUACUGA
rnacentral:pre_miRNA from 1 species